GUGAACGCUGGCGGCGUGCUUAACUCAUGCAAGUCGAACGGUAACAGGAAGUAGCUUGCUACUUUGCUGACGAGUGGCGCACAGGUGAGUAAUCUAUAGUUAAUGUGCCUCGAAGACUGGGAUAGCCACUGGAAACGGUGAUUAAUACUAGAUACACCUCUUUAACAUAAGCUGAGUAGGGAAACGUCUUUUCGCUUCGAGAUCAGACUAUAUCCUAUCAGUUAGUUGGUGAGGUAAUGGCUCACCAAGGCAAUGACGGGUAGCGGUUCUGAGAGGAUGAUCCGCCACACUGGUACUGAGACACGGACCAGACUCCUACGGGAGGCAGCAGUGAGGAAUAUUGCACAAUGGAGGGAACUCUGAUGCAGCAACGCCGCGUGGAGGAUGACGCAUUUCGGUGUGUAAACUCCUUUUAAGUGUGAAGAAAAUGACGGUAGCACAUGAAUAAGCACCGGCUAACUCCGU
rnacentral:rRNA from 1 species